rnacentral:lncRNA from 1 species
UAAAGUGAUGUGCUUCACUUCCAGGACAAGCUGUUUAUUGUUUAUAUAAGGCCAGCAUUCUUGACCCUGCUUCAGCGAUUGUGAAGAGAGUCUUGUGUUGAGGUUGUGAAGUUACAAGAUUAAUAAAGUCUAAAUUGACUCAUCAUUGCACAUUGGACACUUCCCUGGAUGAUUUACAUAUGUGAAAAGUAAAUCUUGUAGUAUGAAGCCACAAAGAUUUGAAGAUUGGCCCCACCUGGACUCCUGACUCAUGGCUCAACUAGUCCCGUGGCUCCCUACUAAGAGACAGACUCAGUGCAUGAAGACUAUUUACCACACCACUAUGAUCCCAUUCCCAACCAUUCAGCAUGACUGAUUCCCAGAUCACCUGCCCACCAGACUACCCUUGAAAAACCCUGAUCUUCAAGCCUUCAAGGAGAAUGUUUGGGUGAUAACUCCAGUUCUUCCAUGUGGGCAGCCUCAUAUUAAUUGAACUCUUUCUUUACUGCAAUACCACUGUCUCAGUACACUGGUUUUGUCUGUGCAGUGGGCAGGAAGAACCUGUCAGGCAAUUACACUUUCUUCAGAUAGAUUUAUGGGCAUAUUUCCAUUCAUGUUUGAAUACAGGUGAUGGGUACAGUUUAAGUUUCAGGAGAUAAGUCUUGC